AUUGAACGCUGGCGGCAGGCCUAACACAUGCAAGUCGAGCGGAGCGGCGGACGGGUGAGUAAUGCUCAGGUAUCUGCCUGGUAGUGGGGGAUAACGUCCGGUAACGGGCGCUAAUACCGCAUACUAUUAGAUGAGCCUAGGUCGGAUUAGCGAGUUGGUGGGGUAAAGGUAUACCAGGGCGACGAUCCGUAACUGGUCUGCGUGGAUGAUCAGUCACACUGGAACGGAGACACGGUCCAGACUCCUACGGGAGGCAGCAGUGGGGAAUAUUGGACAAUGGGCGAAAGCCUGAUCCAGCCAUGCCGCGUGUGUGAAGAAGGUCUUCGGAUUGUAAAGCACUUUAAGUUGGGAGGCGUUACCAACAGAAUAAGCACCAGCUAACUUCGUGCCAGCAGCCGCGGUAAUAC
rnacentral:rRNA from 1 species